rnacentral:misc_RNA from 1 species
CAACCCCUCAGGCCCCUGGGCUUGGUGUUGGGGAUCGGCCCGCCCCUGGCGGCGGCGCCGGCCCCGAAAUCGAGUGGCGGUCUCGCUGCAGCCUCCUCUGCGUAGUAGCACACACCUCGCACCGGGACGCAGCGCGGCCACGCCGUGAAACCCCCAACUCUCUCAA